rnacentral:rRNA from 1 species
GUAAUUAUACCGUUUGGUGGAUAGUUCGGCUCAAGUGCUGAUGAAGGACGUGCCAAGCUGCGAUAAGCCCAGGCGA